rnacentral:rRNA from 1 species
GACGAACGCUGGCGGCGUGCUUAACACAUGCAAGUCGAACGGAAAGGCCCUGCUUUUGUGGGGUGCUCGAGUGGCGAACGGGUGAGUAACACGUGAGUAACCUGCCCUUGACUUUGGGAUAACUUCAGGAAACUGGGGCUAAUACCGGAUAGGAGCUCCUGCUGCAUGGUGGGGGUUGGAAAGUUUCGGCGGUUGGGGAUGGACUCGCGGCUUAUCAGCUUGUUGGUGGGGUAGUGGCUUACCAAGGCUUUGACGGGUAGCCGGCCUGAGAGGGUGACCGGCCACCUUGCGACUGAGAUACGGCCUAGACUCCAACGGGAGGCAGCAGUGGCGAAUAUUGCACAAUGGGCGGAAGCCUGGUGCAGCAAGGCCGCGUGCGGGAUAACGACCUACGGGUCGUAACCCGCUUUCGCCUGUGACGAAGCGUGAGUGACGGUAAUGGGUAAAGAAGCACCGGCUAACUACGUG